CCUUUGUAUAAAAGGAGAGGGGGUUAGCACUCCCCUUGACAAGGAUGGAAGAGGCCCUCAGGCCUGACAACAUGCAAGUGGUUACGGCAUCGCCACCUACUUCAUGGCAUCUAAACACUGUUUUUC
rnacentral:ncRNA from 1 species